GACCACACGUGGAAAACAGAUGAUGCAGCACUUGCGGUUUGUUCGGUUUCCACCCAACUCUGAGGACAAGUCUAUCCUCCGUUGUAAAGUCAAGAGAUUGAGUAAGAGUGGGCUGUUCAAGGUCAGCUUGUGGGCCUGGGCCAGUGGGACGCAGGAUUUAGGGGCAGAGGGCGGCAGGCCUCAGGCCACAGUGCAUGUUUGUGACCUACUCCCCUGUUUGCUGCCCUGGGAGAGUGGCCUUGGUUUCUCUCCCUGAGGUUUAUUUUUUGCUCCCUCUGCUUUGGUCCAAGCCCCAGGACAUGAAAAGGGAGAACAACCCUGCCUGAACUCUACCUCCCUAAAGAAAGCUGGAGUCAGCUGUGUCUAGUUCAGCUGCGCAAGAGUCAGCGGUGUCCAGUUUGAGCUGAGCUGGUUGAGACUGGCUGGGACCACUGACCUUUCAACUGAGUGUGCGAACAUGCAAAGGCCUGUUGCUGAGCUAUGCCUGCACAAAGCGACGACCGGGACACCCUUUUCUAUCACCUUUCCCCACGGUCCCGUGUCUCAGACGACCUGCUUCUUCAGUCUUCAUCCCAUAAACACAUAAGCCCCUUGCCUGAGGGGAACCGGAUUUGGGGUUUGUUUUCCCAUCUCCUUGCUUGGUGGCCCUGCUGAUGGAUCCUCUCUUUGCUGCAGACCUUGGUGUCUCAGUGUUUUGGGUUGCGGUGCACCCAGGUGGGUGAGAAGCUGAGAGCUGAGCAUCACACCUGGAGAUGGAGCCUGGCGGGAAGACGAGCUCAUGUUGGCAAAGCUGCAUGCUGGCAGAUAACAGCCUCUUUUCCAGCCCUGGGGCAGUUUCCAGCUUCUCCAGUCACGUUCAACCCACAGCUGUAGCCGGAGAAGCCAGAGGGGAGAGAGCUACUCCAACCAUGGGAGGAAGCCUGCUGCUUCCGGAUCCCAUCAUAGAGCCCCGCUGGGGAGGGGCCAGAGUGGGAGCCCCCCACGGUCCUCCAUCCUCGAGCGCAGAGGAGAUGGGAGAGAGGCAGCGGUCUCUGCCUGGGGCUGGUCCACCCUAGCUCAGCUGAAACACAGGCUUCUCCAGCCCCGAGUCCAUGGGGUUGGACAGAAGGCAGUUUGGGGCCCCUCCCACCCAGACUGUGGGGCAGGCCCAGGACGCAUGCCUGUCGUAGAUGCUGGCCCUUCAGGAGUGGCUGCCCUGGGUAGGUUGGGGCUGGGAUGAAAGCCUGAGGCCUGGUCUCUGGGUCACUGUGUUGGGUAACUGCUGGCCAUGUUUGUAGAGCAUGCACACUCUUGUGUUCUGAUCUCUGCAGACCGUCCUUGAAGGAUGUGUGCUCCUGGGUCUGGGUAAUGUUUUUCCUUUCUCUUAAAAGAUAGACUUCUAAGAGCAGCUUUAGGUUCACAGCUAAACUAGGUGGAAAGUGUGACAUUUCAAUAUUCCUCCUCCCUCACACCCGUGGCUUCCCCGUCAUCAUCUCCACCGGUUGGUACUUGUGUUACAACUGAUGACCCCACAUGGACAUGUCAUUAUGACCCAGAGUCCACAGUUGACAUCAGGGGUCACUGUAGGUGGUGUGUGUCCUGUGGGUUUGGCCAAACAAAUAAUGACACGUAUAUUAUACAUCAAUACAGUAUCAUACAGAGAAGUUUCACUGCCCUAAAAACUCUCUGUUCUCCACCUGUUCAUCCCUCCCUCGCCACAAUCCCUCAAAAUCAGACCUUUUUAUCCUUGGCAUAUCUUGCCUUUUCCGUGACAUCAAACUAGUUGCAAUCAUAUAGCGUGUAGCCUUUGUUUCCUCCAUGUCUUCAUGACUUGACAGCUCGCUUAUUUUAGCAUGUAAUAAUAUUCCCAUCUGGAUGCCCUGUAGUUCAUUUAUCCAUCACCUACUGAAGGACACUUUGGUUGUUUUCAAGCUUUGGCAAUUAUGAAUAAAGUCACUGUGAAAAAGCACCCAUGUGCAAGUUUUUGUAUGGACAUGAGCGUCUUAAGAGGCAGGGAGGUGGUUUACUAUCUGGUCCUUGCUGGAAGCUUCCCUUGUAGCUCAGUUGGUAAAGAAUCUGCCUGCCAAUGCAGGAGACCAGUGUUUGAUCCCUGGGUUGGGAAGAUUCCCUGGAGAAGGAAAUGGCAACCCACUCCCGUAUUCUUGCCUGGAGAAUCCCAUGGACAGAGAAGCCUGGCAGGCUACAUUCCAUGGAGUCACAACAGUCGGACAUGGCUUAGUGACUAAACCACCUUGCUGGAAGGUCUCAGGGUCGGGCUGCGUGGAGAAGCUUCCCUGGGGGACCUGGAAACACCUGGUUUCUCACUGGCUUAGCUCCAGGGGGAACCCAUGUCCGUGUGUCUGGGAAAGAGGGCAGGCGAAGGAAGCCACUGAUGGAGAGGGAAAGGAAAGGCAAACGGGAAGAAAAAGAGAGGAAAAGGCUGUGUGGAUUAAACCAGAAUCCAGAUUUUUCUGAUCCUGUUGCCAAACGGUAACAUAGGACACGGAUGUCGAGUCGUUGAGGCAGGUUUGUGUGUCUCUGAGAGGGUAGAGAGUAGACCAUCCGUAUUUGAUGAACAUUCUGCCUUUAUUAUGAAAAGUGAAGCCUGGGGGUUCAGAGGGGGUUAAGAGAUUAAGGACUUGGAUACAAUCCUGGAAUUUCAUUCUUUAUAACUUUUGCACUUUUAAUGAAAAAUUUCAAACAUCUCUUCAAAGAGAUAUGCAGAGUAUAAAUUCUCAUGAUGCCUCAUCUUGCUUCAGCAAUUCUCAACUUAUGUGGUUUCCUUUUUAUCCCUAACUAUGCUCUUGCCCUAUAAUUUUGAAGGAAAUCUCAGACCUCAUGUGAUUUUUAUCCAUAAAGAUUUCAGUGUGUCUCUCUAGGGAGACUGCAAUCAUAGUACUUCUGUCAAAGAUAAAAAUACAACCUUAUCUUGUGCACUUUACCCAGUCAAUUCUGGAUAUUUUGGAUUGUCUUAUUUAAAAAACAAUUUGCUCGAUUUAGGAUCCAA
ensembl:lncRNA